AGAUUGAACGCUGGCGGCAUGCCUAACACAUGCAAGUCGAACGGGAGUAGCAAUACUCUAGUGGCGGACGGGUGAGGAAUACGUAGGAAUUUGCCCUUAAGUGGGGGAUAACCCGGGGAAACCCGGAUUAAUACCGCAUGACCUCGAAAGAGCAAAGUGGGGGAUCGCAAGACCUCACGCUUUUGGAGAAGCCUACGUCGGAUUAGCUAGUUGGUGAGGUAAUGGCUCACCAAGGCGACGAUCCGUAACUGGUCUGAGAGGAUGAUCAGUCACACCGGACUGAGACACGGUCCGGACUCCUACGGGAGCAGCAGGUGGGAAUAGUUAGGACAAUGGGCGCAAGCCUGAUCCAGCAAUGCCGCGUGUGUGAAAGGAGGUCCGUUCGGGUUAGUAAGUACUAAGUUUAGUUAAGGGUAAGUAAAAAAC
rnacentral:rRNA from 1 species